UAGGGAAUCUUCGUCAAUGGACGAAAGUCUGACCGAGCAACGCCGCGUGAGUGAAGAAGGUUUUCGGAUCGUAAAACUCUGUUGUUAGAGAAGAACAAGGACGUUAGUAACUGAACGUCCCCUGACGGUAUCUAACCAGAAAGCCACGGCUAACUACGUGCCAGCAGCCGCGGUAAUACGUAGGUGGCAAGCGUUGUCCGGAUUUAUUGGGCGUAAAGCGAGCGCAGGCGGUUUCUUAAGUCUGAUGUGAAAGCCCCCGGCUCAACCGGGGAGGGUCAUUGGAAACUGGGAGACUUGAGUGCAGAAGAGGAGAGUGGAAUUCCAUGUGUAGCGGUGAAAUGCGUAGAUAUAUGGAGGAACACCAGUGGCGAAGGCGGCUCUCUGGUCUGUAACUGACGCUGAGGCUCGAAAGCGUGGGGAGCAAACAGG
rnacentral:rRNA from 1 species